GGAAGUAAAAGCCGUAACAAGGUUUCCGUAGGUGAACCUGCGGAAGGAUCAUUAAAGUUGUAGUCCCCUGGCCCUUUCGGGUUGGGGUCUUCUAUACCACCCUUUGUUUAUUACACCUUUGUUGCUUUGGCAGGCCUGCCUUCGGGCUGCUGGCUCCGGCCGGCGAGCGUCUGCCAGAGGACCUAAACUCUGUUUGUCUAUACUGUCUGAGUACUAUAUAAUAGUUAAGACUUUCAACAACGGAUCUCUUGGUUCUG
rnacentral:misc_RNA from 1 species